AUGUUCAAUAUUGUAGAUGAUAAUGAGGAUAUCCAAGAUGAGGAUUUUGGUGACAAUGAGGUCAAUGCAACACAAUCCAGGAAAUUUGUUAGUGCAAGGGAGUACUACUGCUUCAAGCUACAGGUCAGGAAGAAGCUUUUUAACAUCAUCUUGUUUGGUGGGCGCCUUUUCCAACAGUGGGCGGUUGAUAUGUAUAUCAAGAUUGAGACUAUGAGGUUGGACUGGUACUCAAAGCCAGAAAAUCAAAAGGUUAUACGAGCUGAUCUCUACCAGGGUCUUGUUGACACCAUCGUUGCCGGCGAGUCACGCGGUGAUCGAAUUGGCAAGAGAAUAGUGCUUCCACGUACGUUUCCUGGUGGUGAUCGUGAGAUGCAGCGGAGGUUGUUGGAUGCGAUGGCAAUAGUCCAACGGUGGGGUAAACCGGAUUAUUUUAUCACGAUGACUUGCAAUCCCUAUUGGGAGGAGAUAACCCAUAAUCUGAUGCCUGUACAAUUGCCACAAGACCGUCCAGACCUUGUGGCAAGAGUAUACAAGGCUAAACAACGAGAUAUGAUGGACUUGCUAACUAAGGGUAAGCAUUUCGGAGAAGUCGCCGCUUAUGUACAUGUCACCGAGUUUCAGAAACGAGGCCUUCCUCAUGAGCAUAUACUUUUAAUCAUGAAAACAAAUAGCAAGUUAGCAUCCCCAGAUGACUAUGAUAUCCGCAGAGAUACCUGA
rnacentral:rRNA from 1 species